AGCGCAGGCGGGAAGACAAGUUGGAAGUGAAAUCUAUGGGCUCAACCCAUAAACUGCUUUCAAAACUGUUUUUCUUGAGUAGUGCAGAGGUAGGCGGAAUUCCCGGUGUAGCGGUGGAAUGCGUAGAUAUCGGGAGGAACACCAGUGGCGAAGGCGGCCUACUGGGCACCAACUGACGCUGAGGCUCGAAAGUGUGGUAGCAAACA
rnacentral:rRNA from 1 species